rnacentral:rRNA from 1 species
GAGUGGCGAACGGCUGAGUAACACGUAGGUGACCUGCCCCGAAGUUUGGGAUAACAACUCGAAAGAGUUGCUAAUACCGGAUGUGACCACCGUCAUUUCGGUGCUUAAAGUCGUAAGACGCUUUGGGAGGGGCCUGCGGCGGAUUAGCUAGUUGGUGUGGUAACGGCAUACCAAGGCUUCGACCCGUAGCUGGUCUGAGAGGAUGGCCAGCCAGACUGGGACUGAGACACGGCCCAGACUCCUACGGGAGGCAGCAGUUAGGAAUUUUGCGCAAUGGAGGAAACUCUGACGCAGCCACGCCGCGUGAGGGAUGAAGGCCUUCGGGUCGUAAACCUCUUUUCUCAGGGAAGACACCCGACGGUACCUGAGGAAUAAGCAACGGCUAACUACGUGCCAGCAGCCGCGGUAAUACGUAGGUUGCGAGCGUUGUCCGGAUUUACUGGGCGUAAAGCGCGCGCAGGUGGUCCUGAAAGUCGAGCGUGAAAGCUCCCGGCCCAACUGGGAGAGGCCGUUCGAAACUUCAGGACUUGAAGGCGGGAGAGGCAAAUGGAAUUUCCGGUGUAGCGGUAAAAUGCGUAGAUACCGGAAGGAACACCAGUGGCGAAAGCGAUUUGCUGGCCCGCCCU